GCGGUUAUACCAAGUGAUUAAGUUAUAUUUUUAGGUAAAAAGAUAGUUAGGUUUAAAAAAGUUUGUUUGUUGAACAUCUAUAAAAAAGUAAAAUUUGUAUAUAGAUAGCUAAUCUAGAAAUAACUAAUUAAAUAAAUAUACUGAAGCUGUGAUAAUCUUGAGGGAAACUGGGAUUAGAUACCCCAUUAUUCUUGAUUGUAAAUAGAAUUAAAUUUACCAGAGUACUAUGAAUAGUUAAAAAUUUAAAACUCAAAGGGCUUGGCGGUGUUUUAGACCUAUCAGGGGAACCUGUCUCAUAAUCGACAAUCCACGCAAUAUCUAACCUUAUUUUGUAAUCAGUUUGUAUACCGUCGUCGUCAGGUAACUUUUAAAAAUAUAGAAGUUAGCAAUUAAAAUUAUUGUAAAUUAAAACGUCAGAUCAAGGUGCAGCCUAUAAUAAGGAGAGGAUGGGUUACAAUUAUAAAAGUUAUAACCACGAAAAUUUAAAUGGAAUUAUUAUUUUGAAGGAGGACUUGAAAGUAAACUAAAAUAUAUAAAUAGUUUGAAUAAGGCUCUG
rnacentral:rRNA from 1 species